AAUUCACAGGCACUGCAAGUAUAGCUGCUCUGUCACAUUUGCUUCAAGAGGUGGCAGAGAGGAAAGAAGCUAUGUCUACUCUCAGUGUUCUGACCUAUGAACACCUGAAUGAUCAGUAGCCUGAGAUC